rnacentral:rRNA from 1 species
AACGAACGCUGGCGGCAGGCUUAACACAUGCAAGUCGAGCGCCCCACAAGGGGAGCGGCAGACGGGUGAGUAACGCGUGGGAAUCUACCCAUCUCUACGGAAUAACGCAUGGAAACGUGUGCUAAUACCGUAUACGUCCUUCGGGAGAAAGAUUUAUCGGAGAUGGAUGAGCCCGCGUUGGAUUAGCUAGUUGGUGGGGUAAAGGCCUACCAAGGCGACGAUCCAUGGCUGGUCUGAGAGGAUGAUCAGCCACACUGGGACUGAGACACGGCCCAGACUCCUACGGGAGGCAGCAGUGGGGAAUAUUGGACAAUGGGCGCAAGCCUGAUCCAGCCAUGCCGCGUGAGUGAUGAAGGCCCUAGGGUUGUAAAGCUCUUUCACCGGUGAAGAUAAUGACGGUAACCGGAGAAGAAGCCCCGGCUAACUUCGUGCCAGCCGCCGCCGUAA